rnacentral:rRNA from 1 species
AACUUAAGCAUAUCAAUAAGCGGAGGAAAAGAAACCAACAGGGAUUGCCCUAGUAACGGCGAGUGAAGCGGCAACAGCUCAAAUUUGAAAUCUGGCUCUCGGGCCCGAGUUGUAAUUUGUAGAGGAUGCUUUUGAUGCGGUGCCUUCCGAGUUCCCUGGAACGGGACGCCAUAGAGGGUGAGAGCCCCGUCUGGUUGGAUGCCAAAUCUCUGUAAAGCUCCUUCAACGAGUCGAGUAGUUUGGGAAUGCUGCUCUAAAUGGGAGGUAUAUGUCUUCUAAAGCUAAAUACCGGCCAGAGACCGAUAGCGCACAAGUAGAGUGAUCGAAAGAUGAAAAGCACUUUGAAAAGAGAGUUAAAAAGUACGUGAAAUUGUUGAAAGGGAAGCGUUUAUGACCAGACUUGGGCUUGGUUAAUCAUCUGGGGUUCUCCCCAGUGCACUUUUCCAGUCCAGGCCAGCAUCAGUUUUCCCCGGGGGAUAAAGGCGGCGGGAAUGUGGCUCUCUUCGGGGAGUGUUAUAGCCCGCCGUGUAAUACCCUGGGGGGGACUGAGGUUCGCGCAUCUGCAAGGAUGCUGGCGUAAUGGUCAUCAACGACCCGUCUUGAAACACGGACCAAGGAGUCGUCUUCGUAUGCGAGUGUUCGGGUGUCAAACCCCUACGCGUAAUGAAAGUGAACGCAGGUGAGAGCUUCGGCGCAUCAUCGACCGAUCCUGAUGUUCUCGGAUGGAUUUGAGUAAGAGCAUACGGGGCCGGACCCGAAAGAAGGUGAACUAUGCCUGUAUAGGGUGAAGCCAGAGGAAACUCUGGUGGAGGCUCGCAGCGGUUCUGACGUGCAAAUCGAUCGUCAAAUAUGGGCAUGGGGCGAAAGACUAAUCGAACCUUCUAGUAGCUGGUUUCCGCCGAAGUUUCCCUCAGAUAGCAGUGUUGAACUCAGUUUUAUGAGGUAAAGCGAAUGAUUAGG